UAAAUAAAUCUUAUUAAAAUUUUUAUUGAGUUAUUUAAUUAAUAAAAAUAAUUUUAUUUAAAAUGUUUUUGUAAUUUUUAUAGAUAAAAUAAUUAUAAUGAUAGUAUAUUAGUAUUGUGAAAGAAUGAUGAAAUAAAUUGAAAAUAAAUUAAUUUUAAAGAAGAUUUUAUUUAUUGUACCUUGUGUAUCAGGGUUUAUUAAUUAAAAAAUAUUAAUUAAUAUUUUUCUCGAAUUUAAGAGAGCUAAUUAAUUAUUUUAGUUAUUGUGGCAUAAAUAUUAAUAAUAAUUAAUUAGAAAUGAAAUGUUAUUCGUUCUUAAAUAUAUCUAGUUUUUUAAGAAAUAAAUUUAAUUUAUAUAUUUUUAAUUGUAAUGAAUUAAUUAAUUAAUUCAUUAUUUAAUAAUAUAAAUAUUUUAAGGGAUAAGCUUUAAGAUAAAUUUUUAUAAAAUUGUGUAAUAUAAAAUAAUUAUAGGUUUAGAAAUAUCCAUUAAUUGAAAGCAUGUUAUAAUAUAUUUUUUGUGAAUAUUAUUUAUUUAAUUUUUAAAUUUUUAUUAAAAUAUUGAUUUUAAUUAAUAAAAUUAAGGAAUAAUGAUAAAAUUAGUAUAUUUAAAUUUAUAAAUAAAUAAAAUAUGAAAGGUUUUUAAAAGGAACUCGGCAAAUAGAAUAUUCGCCUGUUUAUCAAAAACAUGUCUUUUUGGAUUUAUUUAAAGUCUAACCUGCCCACUGAAUAUAAUUAAAGGGCCGCGGUAUAUUGACCGUGCAAAGGUAGCAUAAUCAUUAGUUUUUUAAUUGAAAGCUUGUAUGAAUGGUUGGACGAAAUAUUAACUGUCUUUAUAGAAUUUAUGAUAGAAUUUAACUUUUUUGUAAAAAGGCAAAAAUAAUUUUAAAGGACGAGAAGACCCCAUAGAGCUUUAUAUUUUUAUAAUAUAGUUUAUAAAGAAUUAUUUAAAUUUUAUUAGAAAAAUUAUUUUGUUGGGGUGACAAUAAAAUUUAUUGAACUUUUAUUAUUUAUUUACAUUGAUUUAUGAUUUAUUGAUCCAAUUUUAUUGAUUAAAAAAUUAAGUUACCUUGGGGAUAACAGCGUAAUUUUUUUAAAGAGUUCAUAUCGACAAAAAAGAUUGCGACCUCGAUGUUGGAUUAAGAGUAAUUUUAGGUGUAGAAGUUUAAAGUAUUGGGUCUGUUCGACCCUUAAAUUCUUACAUGAUCUGAGUUCAGACCGGCGUAAGCCAGGUUGGUUUCUAUCUUUAAUAAAUUUAAAUAUUUUAGUACGAAAGGACCAAAUAUUUGAUAUAUAAAUAUUUUAGUUUAUGAAUAUAAUUAAUUUA
rnacentral:rRNA from 1 species